rnacentral:rRNA from 1 species
GUGAUCUGCCUCAGAGUGGGGGAUAACGACCCGAAAGGGUCGCUAAUACCGCAUAACAUCCUGCCUUUGGAUAGGUGGAGAUCAAAGCCGGGGAUCGCAAGACCUGGCGCUUAGAGAGGAGCCCGCGGCCGAUUAGCUAGUUGGUGAGGUAACGGCUCACCAAGGCGACGAUCGGUAUCCGGCCUGAGAGGGCGGACGGACACACUGGGACUGAGACACGGUCCAGACUCCUACGGGAGGCAGCAGUGGGGAAUUUUGCGCAAUGGGCUAACGCCUGACGCAGCAACGCCGCGUGGAGGAUGAAGGUCUUUGGAUUGUAAACUCCUGUCAGCAGGGAAAAAGGGACUCGACCUCAUACGUCGGGAACUUGAUUGUACCUGCAGAGGAAGCCCCGGCUAACUCUGUGCCAGCAGCCGCGGUA